UGUUACCAAGAGGAGGAAACUCCUCGAUCGGAGCACAAACGGAUAUAAAGGGAGGAACACAUGGACAGUUGCUCUUUGGCUGCUGGUUUUAUGGGCCUGAGCAGGAUUCUGUUUUAUUUUGAUCUCUCAGUUCGUUGUGUUGCACAAGGCAGCCGAUCUCUCUGGUUCUAAAGUCAAAAACAAUUCAACUCUCAGAGCUGGGAAACAAAUCAGACAAAGAUUUUCAGGCUGCAUUCCCACCAGCUCUGUUUAAUCCGCUUCAGUCCAACUUCAGUCUGUUUGCCUAGAAAGUCCGGUUCAUUUAUGGAGGUGUGAAUGCUAACCGGACCAAAAAGCGAACACUGGUCCACCUACAAAUCUCCUCUACAAAAGCAGGAAGUGGACUACAGCUCAGGGCAUUGUGGAUUGCUUCCUGACUCAAGGUCAUCCCUCCCUGCUCUUCCUCCUCUUCCUCCACGUAUUGAAGCCACUCGAAGCCAAGGUUCUUGGCUGUUAAAAGGAAAAUCGAUAUCCCUCGGUGCUGUAAUGUCCCUCCAAGCGGCACCUGCCAAAAUAUUGAUGCUGUAUUCAUGGGAGAAGGAAGAAGAACGGAGAACGGUGAGAGCAGCUCCUGAUUUAUGCAGCUCGCUGUUCUCAUUAAAAGCUGCAAAGCCGCUUUCCAAAUCUGACGUAUGUUUGAGUCCCAGCUGCAGCUUCGCUGUAAAUUGUAACAUUUUAUUUAAUUAAAAAGGAUGAGUGAAAAUAACUUUACUUUGGUCAAGGGUUGGUAACACACAAAUAAACUUGAUCUGGUGAA